GUGUUCGGAACUCAUUAGUCAUGUGACCGCAAAGGGGUGUCCGGUGAUUGGUCAGGAGGAACAGAGGGCGUGCCAACGGUGGCGGCGUGCGUUUGCCUGUGUGACACAAUUACAACAACUUUGAGCCGCUGGUUGGGGAAGUUUGCUUGAUUCACAAAUAACACUUUGUCCUUCCAGCCAACUUUCUUGCAACUUCACGCAGACAUGGAGCGGGAACACACGCGGUGUUUUGAUGCAUAACAAGGAGCGUGGGGGAGAACUUGAAAGGAUCAUUUCCUUGAGGAUUUGGCAAGAAUUACGUUCCGCCCCGUUUUAAUCCUGGAUAGGUGUGCAGCGGUGUCGGUGUUCCUGCUUUCUGUCGGAAUCCAUCAGCCUCGCCGCUCUUCCUGUUUCUGCCCCAUGAAAUCGUGCGGAGUUUCGCUCCCCGUCGCUGCCUCUGCUGCUGCCCGGAGUAUCGGCGUUGCUGGUAAUGACGACGAGAAAAUGGCGUCGGCAAAAGCGACUGAAAUCGAAAAGGACUUUCCGAAGCUAACGGCACAAGAGAAGGACUGCUUGACCGGAAUAGACAGUUCACUGUUUGGAUUUCAUGGGCUUCAAGAAGAUGGCGCCAGAACGAAGGCCUUGUUGUUAAAGGUAUGCCACUGAACAGGACCAAAGCCACGUCUGCCCGUUAUCUCCGGUGAUGAGCACACAUCCCGCCUGAAACGAGUGCUACAGACCUCCCGACUAGCCUAGCCGCGAGCCGUCCCCCUCCAUGCAGCUUCGGAAACAAGCCGCUAUCAGUCGGUAAAGUCGACAUAUGUGGGACGUUUGAAGCACAAAACGAGCGGCUUCAUUCUGCCAUGGAGUAGUCGACACAGAACUUUGUGAAAUCGCUUCUCCGCCCAGAGAGAGGUGUUACUGUUUUGAACUGAGACCAUGCUAACCUCACAGUGAUGCGUUCAAGUGCUCCUCACACCCUAUGGAAGCUGAACAUUUGUGUUUUUAAACAGCUACUCUAAAGUUAAGCAUCAAAGGAAGAAAUGCUUUAGCUUUUAACCGUAACGUUUGCCCUUCAGACCCACUACUGUGUGUUUUACUACAUUUAUUGACAUGUAACCAUUAAAACAGACAGAGUAAAGCAGAGCCUGCAGAAACUGGAGUGGUCUCGUGCGUCAGUCCAGCUAGCUUGUAUAGCGGCUAAGUGUCCAGCGGUGUGCAUGCUAGCAUCCAGACGGGACUUUUACACCAUUUAGGGGUCAGAAUAGACGCAAGACGAAGGCUUAGCGGGAAAUAAAACACAUUUUAUAUCAUAAAAGGUUACAUUAAAUAAUAAUGUGUUUGGUUGGCCCAGUAUAGUAUCAUUAGCUAACUUGUAACAUGCUAUGCUAGCUUCUAGUGUAAUAAAUGGAGUUGGUUAGUGUUUAUGAGAGCUGUACCGUACCAAGAACGGUACUGUUCUUGGCGUUUAGACACUGGAGGUGUUUAUGCUGAUUUAUGAAUAUUUUCAAGUGUUACUUCAACAUGUGGCUCUGGAGUCGGGGGUCCUUCAAAGGACAGACGCUCCAGCACCCGUCCUUCUUGACUGUACUGUCAGAUUUAGCUAGGUACUCUGUUUAUACCACGUGGUUUUUCUCCUUUUUUAACUCACAAAUAUACUGUUUUCUCCAAAUAUACAGUCUGUUAUCCUGAUUGUAGAUUCAUUUGAACAGUGAGGGAUAGAAAAUUAAAACGUCGACUUUAAAGUCCCACUUUGAUCA